GAUGAAGAACGUAGCGAAAUGCGAUAAGUAGUGUGAAUUGCAGAAUUCAGUGAAUCAUCGAAUCUUUGAACGCACAUUGCGCCCGCCAGUAUUCUGGCGGGCAUGCCUGUCCGAGCGUCAUUUCAACCCCUCAAGCCCUGCUUGGUGUUGGGGCCCCCUACGUGCGCCGUAGGCCCCGAAUUCCAGUGGCGGGCUCGCCGCGAACCCGAGCGUAGUAGCUUUUGCCUCGCUCAGGGCCCGCGGCGGGCGCCUGCCGUGAAAGAACCCACUAUUCUAAAGGUUGACCUCGGAUCAGGUAGGAAUACCCGCUGAACUUAAGCAUAUCAAUAAGCGGAGGA
rnacentral:misc_RNA from 1 species